GUGGCCGGUAGGCCUAAUCCCCGGUUCACGAGGAAUUUUUCAUCAAAUCUUGGCAUGCCACAGCAGAACAGACCAAUAAAAAUAUGUUAUUCAGGAUGUCUGCAAUCCAGUAAAGCAUGGAAAACUGGGAAUAGUCUGAGAACUAUUGCAUGACUGGAAAACUAGAAAAAAUGUCAAGAAAGCGGUGAAGAGCUGCUGAAGUAAAAAUUCCCUAAAUAAGUUUACACAA